UUUUAUGUCGCGGUAAUAAAUUGUGCUGCAAUAAGAUUUUUAUUGUGGCAGGAGAAUGCUAAAUUACGGCGACAUCUAUACUGCUGCAACAAGUCUUUUAAUCACUUAACUGGUGGGAAAACUCCUCACCUAAUCCUUUACCGAUAGUGAGACUCAGUUCUCUCCAUUGUCUCUCUGCUGUGUGCUGGUUGCGUACGCCGUCGAUUCAGCUACUGUGCCCUCUCGACGCCGGGUAUGGAAAUUGUGAGAAAACAGAUGGAAUUAGAAUGAUGCUUCAACCUGCUGGAAGGAGGGUUUGAAGGUUUGUAGUAACUGUUGACAUCCGGUUAGAAGAAACUCUCAUUGAGGAGACAAAUAAGGUGCAUCCUAAGGAAUUGAAUCCUUAUUUGAAAGAUAAUGGUAGUGGUUAUCCAAAAUAUAUGAAUGGGAGUAAAGAUAGUGAGAAUCAACUUUUAUCUUCUUCUAUUGUUGGAGAUGGAGCUGCAAGUUGGAAACCAAAAGCCUUGAAGCGUGCAGAAGAACAAGCAGGCCGAGAAGUGUGGGGGCUUGUGGAAAUGUCGAAGAAAGGUGGGCUUCUCUUGGUCAAUUGGAUGUUUCUGUAGCAUCUCAUUCAACUACCCCAUUUUCAAGCUCAUCUACGUCCAUAAAUGAUAAAAAGAGAGAGGAACAGCAAACAGGUUCAGACAAUCAAAAUGAGACAGUUACUAAUAAGUACCUUGCUACCUUGUGCUAUCUAGUGCAUUACUAUUUUUUUCUUUAAAUGCAUUUAUGUUAUAUUUAAGUUGAAAAUUAUUGUUAUUUGUUUCAAGGUGAAAAUAAUUAUCAAAUUUCUUUUACGGAUGUGUUACAUAUUUAUGUUUGUCAAGUGCAUGACAGGCAUGACUUGAAGGAUUUAUCUCUCUAGAAUCAUAAAAUGAGGGAGACUAAAGUUCAUGAUUCUUUAUCGUGGGGAAGGUGGAAGUAUGAAAGUGUAUUCUAAGGAUGUUGGUCUUAUAUCUUCUGCAGUAUCUAGCUUAAAUAGAUUUGCUUAUGAUGGAAGCUUCGUGCACAAUACUUUUCUACAAUAGAAUAAUGAUCCUGGUUGUUCUAUUGAGGGAAAUGUGGAGACGGAUUUAUCUUCAUCUCAAAUGAAGCAAUCUAAUGAAGGUAUUGGAGUGGCUAACUUUGCAUUGAUUGCAAACCAUUUGGUAACUAAUGCAAUUCAGGUUUGGGUAAGACAAUGUAGUUCACAUUAUAAACUUUUCUGCUCUCUUCUCACUAGUCAAUAUUUUUUCAUGAAAAAUGUGUAC